ACGACCACAUCACUUAUUCCCAUCCGUUCUGCAGGUGAGCUACUGCAACACAUCAAGCCAAGCUCGAAAAUUGGCAAAAGAAGGCCUUCAUUUGGCCAGGUAGCAGAACGCGGCAAGGAGGUAGCAUUGUUCUGACGAACACCUUGUUCUAUUAAUGUUUCAGCCUGUAGAAGCCUACCAUCCACAAUAUCUGCGAGCCUGGCUGGAAAUGCUUCAGAAACCCACUUCCUAAGGCUCAUGUCACCAACAAACAUGGCAUCCGUAGGCCUCUUCCCGGUGAAGACUUCGAGCAACAUGAUCCCAUAGCUGAACACAUCGCUCUUUCGUGAUGCUUUUCCCAUAAAUGCAUAUUCUGUUCAAUGAAUGAUUUUUAAAAGAAAGAAAGAGAUAAACUAAAUUAAGUCUCUUACAUAACUCAAAUGGUAAAGCAAAAUUCUCAUGAAUAGUAAGUGCAAG
rnacentral:lncRNA from 1 species